UUGAACGCUGGCGGCAGGCCUAACACAUGCAAGUCGAACGGUAACAGGAAGCAGCUUGCUGCUUUGCUGACGAGUGGCGGACGGGUGAGUAAUGUCUGGGAAACUGCCUGAUGGAGGGGGAUAACUACUGGAAACGGUAGCUAAUACCGCAUAACGUCGCAAGACCAAAGAGGGGGACCUUCGGGCCUCUUGCCAUCGGAUGUGCCCAGAUGGGAUUAGCUAGUAGGUGGGGUAACGGCUCACCUAGGCGACGAUCCCUAGCUG
rnacentral:rRNA from 1 species